UGUUUUAGCCUAUAUUAUUAUAAAAAAUCACACUUUUUGCUAAAUAUAAAUAUCUACCAAUUACUACUAAAAUUGAUACAUAAUUAUAAAUGCAAAAAAAAACAUUUUUAAUAAAUUCGUAAAAGCAAGCAAAACAAGAAAAUCAACACUGAAUAUUAAAUUCAAUGUAACUAAAUUCUCAACCAUCUCAUCUCUCCACCCCCCACCGGAGCUGCGAAUUCACGGCGGCGAAGUGAUUGAUUGGCGGAGGAUAUGGAAUCGAAGCAGUCGGAUUGGAAUUCGGAAGUGGAGCUAAUUCGAUUCGAUUGAUUUGAAGGGAAAAGAAUGCUGCGAUUAGGAUUUUGUUGCGUCUGCGAAUUCAUGAUGUGAGAUACAUCAGCAUAGAUACUACAAAAAUAGGUAUACACCAACACAUUUAUUCUUUAUUCAAGAAGUGCAUGGGAUGAAGCACUGAUAUGGAGCGGAAUGACAUUGGCAAUCGUGGUGGAUGCUUAGCAAGUUCUUGAGCCACCUCCUUCAUUGACGGCCUCGACUUUGGAUCAGAGCUAAUGCAUUUCAGUGCUGUUUUCACCACUCCAGCCACUUCCCUUGACACUCUUACAUCUUCAUCUGGAGAUGGUAGCCUCUUGUCUAAUAGUUUUGCAAUGCCCUUCACCACAUUCAACCUCUUCUUCCAGUUCAGUUCCAUAGAUUCGUCUUCAUCCUUCAACACACUGAAGAGGCUUCCUCUUUCCAUGUAGUCGUAGAUGAGAAACAUGCUCCGUUGGUGACACAUUUUUGUAUUACUCCAAGUGACACAUUUUCCUUUUUAAAGUGUCAAACUCUAAUGAGUAUAUUUUCUAAAAUGGAAAUAUUAUUUUUUA